CCCUUAGAGUUUGAUCCUGGCUCAGGAUGAACGCUAGCGGCAGGCCUAAUACAUGCAAGUCGAACGAGGUUAAGUAGCAAUAUUUAACUUAGUGGCGCACGGGUGCGUAACGCGUAUGCAACCUACCUUUUACUGGGAGAUAGCCCGGGGAAACCCGGAUUAAUACCGCAUAAUAUAUUUUGGUGGCAUCAUUAGAAUAUUAAAAUUACGAUGGUAAAAGAUGGGCAUGCGUCUGAUUAGCUAGUUGGUGAGGUAAUGGCUCACCAAGGCGACGAUCAGUAGGGGACCUGAGAGGGUGAUCCCCCACACUGGCACUGAGAUACGGGCCAGACUCCUACGGGAGGCAGCAGUAGGGAAUAUUGGGCAAUGGUCGCGAGACUGACCCAGCCAUGCCGCGUGAAGGAAGAAGGCUUUCUGAGUUGUAAACUUCUUUUAUCUGGGAAAAAACGACCCUUGCGAGGGGCACUGAUUGUACCAGAUGAAUAAGCACCGGCUAACUCCGUGCCAGCAGCCGCGGUAAUACGGAGGGUGCAAGCGUUGUCCGGAUUUAUUGGGUUUAAAGGGUGCGUAGGUGGCCCAUUAAGUCAGUGUUUAAAGUCAACAGCUCAACUGUUGGAAUGGCAUUGAUACUGAUGGGCUUGAGUAAAGU
rnacentral:rRNA from 1 species